UGCCUAUGAUGAAUGAUGUAUUGUCCGUACCAUCUGAGAUCUUUCUUUGAUUAGUACUUUCAUCCAAUCCAAUCCAAUUUCUGAGGCAA
rfam:Helianthus annuus linkage group 3, whole genome shotgun sequence.